GCUGCUGUGGCGGAACUGGCAGACGCCCGGGACUUAAAAUCCCGUGAUGGCAACAUCGUACCGGUUCGAUUCCGGUCAGCAGCACCA
rnacentral:tRNA from 1 species